GCCAGGCGUUGUGGUGGGUGCCUGUAGUCCCAGCUACUUGGAGGCUGAGGCAAGAGUAUCGCUUAAGCCCAAGAGUUUGAGGUUGCUAUGAGCUAUGACGACACAGCACUUUCCCAAGGGCAACAUAGUGAGACUGUCUCAAAAAAAAAAAAAACACAAAAAAUAAAAUAUAUACAUAAAUAAAUAAGUGGAAGAGGAACCUAUAAAAGAAGGCUGGGGGGGCACAGAGUCUCACUUUGUCGCCCUUGGUAGAGUGUCCUGGCAUCAUAGCUCACAGCAACCUCAAACUCUUAGGCUCAAGCAAUUCUCUUGCCUCAG
rnacentral:SRP_RNA from 1 species